rnacentral:lncRNA from 1 species
CACAAUUGCUUAAAAGAUCGUCGCCGAAUUCCGCCAUCAUCUCCACCACCGCGGAUCAUCCAUUGAUCUCCCCGUGAAUUGCAACAGGUUCUGGUUUCCUACCUUACUGCUGCUGCAAUUUAGUUAUCCUUAUUCAAAAAUCCAAAAAAAAAAAAAUUGUUCCUAUAUUGCUGCAUAAACUUUUCGUCACAAAGUUUUCAUCUCUACGACGAAAGAUACAUUGCAGAAUUCCAGCCGCAUAGCACCAUCUGUUUGAUUUUGCUACUGUGUUUUUUCUAUCC